CCUACGGGUGGCUGCAGUGGGGAAUAUUGGACAAUGGGCGAAAGCCUGAUCCAGCCAUGCCGCGUGUGUGAAGAAGGCCUUCGGGUUGUAAAGCACUUUCAGUGGGGAAGAAAGCCUUGGGGCUAAUACCCUCGAGGAAGGACAUCACCCACAGAAGAAGCACCGGCUAACUCCGUGCCAGCAGCCGCGGUAAUACGGAGGGUGCGAGCGUUAAUCGGAAUUACUGGGCGUAAAGCGCGCGUAGGCGGUCUGAUAAGCCGGUUGUGAAAGCCCCGGGCUCAACCUGGGAACGGCAUCCGGAACUGUCAGGCUAGAGUGCAGGAGAGGAAGGUAGAAUUCCCGGUGUAGCGGUGAAAUGCGUAGAGAUCGGGAGGAAUACCAGUGGCGAAGGCGGCCUUCUGGACUGACACUGACGCUGAGGUGCGAAAGCGUGGGUAGCAAACAGGAUUAGAAACCCUAGUAGU
rnacentral:rRNA from 1 species